GGGAUUGCCUCAGUAACGGCGAGUGAAGCGGCAACAGCUCAAAUUUGAAAUCUGGCUCCUUUCGGGGUCCGAGUUGUAAUUUGUAGAGAGUGCUUCGGGGGAGACCGCGGUCUAAGUCCAUUGGAACAUGGCGUCAUAGAGGGUGAGAAUCCCGUAUGUGACCGUGGCUUGAACCCAUGUGAAGCCUCUUCGACGAGUCGAGUUGUUUGGGAAUGCAGCUCAAAAUGGGUGGUAAAUUUCAUCUAAAGCUAAAUACUGGCUGGAGACCGAUAGCGCACAAGUAGAGUGAUCGAAAGAUGAAAAGCACUUUGGAAAGAGAGUUAAAAAGUACGUGAAAUUGUUGAAAGGGAAGCGCUUGCAACCAGACCUGCCCGUAGGCGAUCAGCCGCUGUUUUCAGCGGUGCACUCGCUCUGCGAUCAGGCCAGCAUCGGUUCUGGCGGCCGGAUAAAGGCCCCGGGAACGUAGCUUCCCUUCGGGGGAGUCUUAUAGCCCGGGGUGCAAUGCGGCCAGCCGGGACCGAGGACCGCGCUUCGGCUAGGAUGCUGGCGUAAUGGUUGUAAGCGACCCGUCUUGAAACACGGACCAAGGAGUGUACCACAUAUGCGAGUGUUUGGGUGUCAAACCCAUGCGCGGAAUGAAAGUGAACGGAGGUGAGAACCCUUAAGGGCGCAUCAUCGACCGAUCCAGAUGUCUUCGGAUGGAUUUGAGUAUGAGCAUAUUUGGUGCGACCCGAAAGAUGGUGAACUAUGCCUGAAUAGGGUGAAGCCAGAGGAAACUCUGGUGGAGGCUCGCAGCGGUUCUGACGUGCAAAUCGAUCGUCAAAUUUGGGUAUAGGGGCGAAAGACUAAUC
rnacentral:rRNA from 1 species